rfam:Marine bacterium AO1-C Bin2_contig__8_len_882516_cov_107.531_ID_15, whole genome shotgun sequence.
UGCCCCUGCAUGACGGUACGACUAGCUCCCUGUAACCCCCCCAGGGUCGGAAGGCAGCAAGGGCAUCAGGUCGUAGCAGUGCGAUACUGUCGUGCUUUU